UCGGCUUUCCGAGCCUAUCGGGUGGCUGCAAAAUGUCUACCGUUUCCGAUAAGCCCCUCCCCUUUCUCAUCUGUGAUUAUAUAGACUCCUGGACAAUGGCAACACUGAUGCGCACACACGCACGCUGCAGCUCGUGCUACGAGGCUGCAAUGAAGACGUGACGGACUGAGGGAUGGUGACGAAAUCGGGCACAUGCCGGCAAGUAUCGAGGGCAACAACAGGAACAAGAGUGACACAGACAGUCGUAGCGCUGUGAGCUCCGGCAGCGAUCAGUCACUAACGCACGCUGAGAGGAUCCCCCCGUUCCUGCAUCGUUCCCCAAGGACGCUGGCUCCAAGAUGGGCUGCUCCUCCGGACGCCAACCCCCUGCCUCGGUCCUUCACCCAGACCUGGACUGCAGCCACGGCAGCGAGGCAAACACCUUACCCCAGGACUCUGAAAACCAGAAUUUCAACAGCUCCGCAAGUGUGGAUGGAGCAGACGUCAAACCUCCGGAGUCUCACCCGACAUUGGAGCGGCUGGCUCAAGCGACGGGCGGCACUGAAAAGUCCUGGUAUCGCUGCGUGUUCCCUUUCGGGGUGAUCUCGCUGGUUAUCGGGAUGGCGGGCACGGGUGUGACGUUCACUUUCAACAAUCUGCUCCAGACCAAAGUGGUGUCAGUGGCGUUGCUUUGCAUCGGUGUCGUGAUGCUGCUGGUGGCUGCCGUUUGUUGGCGAGCCCACAGAUUGAGAAGGAGGAAAAAGAAGGAGGGGGGGUUCUUCACCACUGAUCUGGGUACUUUGUGAUGGACGAUGUCCGCCGUAUCCCUGACGGAACACUUUGAGCGAGACUGUCGGUGACAAGGACAGAUGAAUAACAACCGAUUUGGACCGAGUGUAGUUUAGCAGAAGGAUUACAUGACAUCACCAAUAUGCCAUCAAAUUUAUUGAUACCCUAACCCCAAAGUUGCCUCCUCACGUCAGGGGAACUGACGUAGAGAUAUGCAAGAGUUCUAAAUAAAUGCAGAUCCUCAACCUGAAACUUGACACAGCAAUGUUUACAAUUGUGUAGCAAGCUAAAUAAAAUAUGAAGGCAUGACAAGGUGAUAGAAAAUUGAUGGGACAAAAGCUUCUGUGAAAAAUUGUUCAAAUUGCGAAGAAAUGAUGCCUGUGUGGACAACUUCUAAAAGCAUCAAAAGUCAACACUCCCCCCCCCCCCUGCUGUUUGGGAUAACAACCAUCCACAAUUGUUUGGGAUCCAUAAAAAUCGCCACUAUGUGAACGAUGAAGCCUUGUGGGGGGGAAAUAGUAUUUGAAAUUGCUUUUCCUGCUGUAUGCUCUCUUGGUGGUGCCCCUUUCAUUGUAUGGUGAGCAAAUCCCAUUCCAGGCAUACCUCAGUGAACACAAAGCAAAAAAAAAACAAAAAAAAACAGCACGGACUGUUCCCUUGAUCCUCGCUAAAUCAAACGGACGCGACUCCCGCUGACAUACAUUCUCCUAACACGUGUUUUUUUUCUAGAUGACAUGACAAAUGAAUCCAUAGUUUAGCUAACGGUAGCAAAAAAAAACGCUAUAGCUAAUGCUAGCACCCAACGUCGAAGGCCGAGAAGACGUAAUAGUGGAGCCGACAUGUAGCAUGUAGGUCAGCCAGUGUACAGUAAAGCACAAUGUCGUGAUGAUGUGAUGAUAAUAAUGGCUUCUAGCAGCAGCAAGUGAUGUGCUUAGAAGACCUAGCGGCACCUACUUAGCUGUAGCAUCGUAUUUGAUCGUCAAUUGCUUCGAUUAAAUGUUAACUGGCUGUUUAAAAUGAAUUUUUGUUUCUUUGUGCCGUUAAAAUUCGAGAUAAGCCCAAAAAGGCAACAAAAUGAGUGUUUGUUCAAAUACGUGAUGUAAAAACAAAUAAAAAAACACACAUUUGAAUGUACAAUGAACAAUAAGUGUCUUAUUUGUACAGGUUGUAAAGAUGUAUCUUCUAUUUUGAAUAGUGGAGAAAAAAACAUUGUGUGUUUGUAUAUCGCGAUCAGUCUGCUUUUAUUUAUUUGUAUUCUUUUCAGUGAUGUGUUUUUGAGGCAAUUGUCAAACACCUGAAAUAAAAAUUCUCAUUGAAUUUAUUGACCUGA